rnacentral:ncRNA from 3 species
UACGUAGGGGGCGAGCGUUGUCCGGAUUCAUUGGGCGUAAAGAGCUCGUAGGCGGUUUGGCAAGUCAGGUGUGAAAUCUCCGGGCUCAACUCGGAGAGGCCACCUGAUACUGCUAUGACUAGAGUCCGGUAGGGGACCAUGGAAUUCCUGGUGUAGCGGUGAAAUGCGCAGAUAUCAGGAGGAACACCGGUGGCGAAGGCGGUGGUCUGGGCCGGUACUGACGCUGAGGAGCGAAAGCGUGGGGAGCGAACAGG